AUACGGAGGUUGCAAGCGUUAUCCGGAAUCAUUGGGUUUAAAGGGUCCGUAGGCGGACUAUUAAGUCAGAGGUGAAAUCCCACAGCUCAACUGUGGAACUGCCUUUGAUACUGGUGGUCUUGAGUUAUAUGGAAGUAGAUAGAAUGUGUAGUGUAGCGGUGAAAUGCAUAGAUAUUACACAGAAUACCGAUUGCGAAGGCAGUCUACUACGUAUAUACUGACGCUAAGGGACGAAAGCGUGGGGAGCGAACAGGAUUAGAAACCCUAGUAGUCC
rnacentral:rRNA from 1 species